GACGAACGCUGGCGGCGUGCUUAACACAUGCAAGUCGAACGGAAAGGCCUGCUUUCCCUUGUGGAUUGCGGGUACUCGAGUGGCGAACGGGUGAGUAACACGUGAGUGAUCUGCCCCCAACUUGGGUAUAAGCCUGGGAAACUGGGUCUAAUUCCCGAUAGGACUGCAGGGUGGUGCCUGUGGUGGAAAACGAUUUUCUAGUGGUUGGGGAUGAGCUCGCGGCCUAUCAGCUUGUUGGUGGGGUAAUGGCCUACCAAGGCGGCGACGGGUAGCCGGCCUGAGAGGGUGGACGGCCACAUUGGGACUGAGAUACGGCCCAGACGCCUACGGGAGGCAGCAGUGGGGAAUAUUGGACAAUGGGCGGAAGCCUGAUGCAGCGACGCCGCGUGGGGGAUGACGGCCUUCGGGUUGUAAACUCCUUUCGACCGCGAGGAAGCCACCUGGUUGGAAGGGUGGUGACGGUAGUGGUAGAAGAAGCACCGGCUAACUACGUG
rnacentral:rRNA from 1 species